GAACACGCUUGAUGGUAACGACUAGAAACUAAAGCUAAUCGCUCGGGUCAUUGCCAUAGCGUAGUGGUAAGGGCACACGCUUAAACAACAUGCCUAGUGUGUGUGUGUGUUAUAAUCUCCAAAUUAGCAACGCAAAAAGCAUGCCUUGAUAAACUUCAAACAGUCUUUAUAGUAUUGUUACGGAGCGCAGAACGUUCGCUGAUUGUACGACCGAACUCACCAAGAUCUUGACACCUUCUUCUCGCAUCGCCAGCCAUCGAACAGGGCAUUUAUAUGCGCACUGUGCGAAGUGAGACGCUUCAUAAAAAAUGCUGGAUGCGUUGCACGCUGGAACAACUGAAAGCAAAAAUCGCAGCCCUGCCUACCCGAUGGGCGGCAAAAGAGAGAAAGGUGUACCAUUCCUGAUUGAUCAAACGCAUCGUGGCACUUUCACGCAAUCGUAAGAAGUAUGGGGAGACACACACACGCACACACACACACGUACAGAAGAAUUUUUAUGCUCCCCAUCUUAACGAUCUCCCAAGGGCUGCUGAGAUUGGAGAGCGCAAACGAGCGCAAAAGCUCUGGUAGAAGCAUGGCAACGGCCCCAGGUGGAACACCUUACCGGACGGCCAUCCAAAUAGCAAUACUAAUUCUAGCGACAAUCUUCUUGCGAUCGAUUUGGUGUGCGUAUGAUGAGAUGAUCGCAGCUGAAUUUCAAUCACUUCCAGCGUCAACGCUAAACAUACUAGCAAUAUCUCUCACUGCUUAAUGUAUUUGUUUUUUUACUGGACAAUUAUUAUUUAAUAAUUUCUGAGCUAUUGAGUAACAAGGAUUAAUUAUUGAGCUAGAGGAAAUUCAUCAAU